rnacentral:rRNA from 1 species
UACGAAGGGUACAAGCGUUAAUCGGAAUUACUGGGCGUAAAGCGCGCGUAGGUGGUUCGUUAAGUUAGGAGUGAAAGCCCCGGGCUCAACCUGGGAAUUGCUUCUAAAACUGGCGAGCUAGAGUAUGGUAGAGGGUGGUGGAAUUUCCUGUGUAGCGGUGAAAUGCGUAGAUAUAGGAAGGAACAUCAGUGGCGAAGGCGACCACCUGGACUGAUACUGACACUGAGGUGCGAAAGCGUGGGGAGCAAACAGGAUUAGAUACCCCGGUAGUCCCUGAGCGGG